GAGACGGUUGAUUUUGCUUGAGCCACUACAAAUGUAAAAGCACAACAUUGACAUCGUUAAGUUGAGUUCUUCUUGGAGAGCCAUAAGUGUGAAAAUUCCUUUCAUUUUUAUGCCAUCAACUAGCAGAAAAGUCAUUAUAUGGCAAAUCCAUCAAGCUUCCACCACCUACCACCUUAUAUUCAGGAAGCACCAAAAAAAAAAGGAAAAAAUGGUUAGCCCAACUUAAUAGAAUUUGUCUAACCCAAGCAUUGCAAAUGUGAUAAUUGCCCCUAAUGUGAAAUACCCCUCAAUACUUACAUAUAUACAAACAAUGAACCAUAAAAGUGCUCAUUGAAAUUCUAAUUAAGAAGCACUUGAGCUAGUGGUAGAAAUACAAUGGCAUGAAAAUUAUGACUUACACAACAAAGAAACCUAUGAAUUCUACUCAACCAACAAAAGGGAAAACCAUCAACUAUGAUUGAGUCAAUAACAUACCGUCAUACUUUUUUUAGGAACUUAGUCUGCCACUGCAUUAUUUUUCUCCCUCCUACAUGUAGAAAAGAAGUUUCUAUUAAUUAUGGAAGUGAAACCCCAUAUUUAGACCAAGAAAAAACAGACUUUAGCAUCUGUGGUUAGUCAAGCAUACUUGGCUGAAGGAAAGAAUGAUCUAUCUCUCAACUUCUAGAGUAGGAAUAACACAAUUCAAUAUAAAUUCAUAUUUCCAAUGAGGUCAUGUUGCUGAAUGUUGGAGAUGUAGGCAAUGCUGAUCCAAGCUUUCUCCUUUCUCCUUUAAGCAAUUUUGUCUCACAACAGGAGAAUUCUGGAUUUCAAGCACUAACUGUUGCAUUCAGCUCUUCCUUCAGCAAAAAGGACUAAAGCUUAGGACAACUUGAGAUCAAUAGCACUUGAAGAAACUUUCAGCAAAAAUUAAGGUUACCUGAAGUUAGAGGAACAAGUAGAAUGAAUUUUUUAUCUGUAAAAGCCUCGUGCACCAGUGCCACUCAUAGAGAGGCGUCUCAAGCUUCCCACAAUUGAACCCAAACUAAACAAUGGGGCCAAAA
rnacentral:lncRNA from 1 species